UCUGAGAAGGCAAAUCUGCCCUGAUAUGCCACGUUGUGGAUGCAAAAAGCAACCUGGGCAGUUCUGUAAAUCCCCAUAGGUUUGUAAAUGGUUUUUAGAUAACAUGGAAGCAGAGCAGUGUGCCAGUCGUUGGCAAUGAAGACAACUUCCUCUCCAUAGGGUCCUGAGAAAUUUUUGUUGCUGUUCAAGUUCAGAACUCUUGGUGCCUCAAGAGCAGCUAGGCAUAACAAGCUAAAUCGCAGUUGGUUGUCCUGGUAAUCCAAACCUGCUCUUGGGCCAUAGAUUUUAGAUCCAGUUUUUCCCCAUAUCUUCUCAAGGAACACUGGGUGAUCCACAAAGACACGAUCAACUCCUCGUUUGUAGCAGUGGAAGAAGCGGACAGUUUCAAUUCUAUCUCCAAC
rnacentral:misc_RNA from 1 species